UGGGGAAUAUUGGACAAUGGGCGAAAGCCUGAUCCAGCCAUGCCGCGUGUGUGAAGAAGGUCUUCGGAUUGUAAAGCACUUUAAGUUGGGAGGAAGGGCAUUAACCUAAUACGUUAGUGUUUUGACGUUACCGACAGAAUAAGCACCGGCUAACUCUGUGCCAGCAGCCGCGGUAAUACAGAGGGUGCAAGCGUUAAUCGGAAUUACUGGGCGUAAAGCGCGCGUAGGUGGUUUGUUAAGUUGGAUGUGAAAUCCCCGGGCUCAACCUGGGAACUGCAUUCAAAACUGACUGACUAGAGUAUGGUAGAGGGUGUGGAAUUUCCUGUGUAGCGGUGAAAUGCGUAGAUAUAGGAAGGAACACCAGUGGCGAAGGCGACCACCUGGACUAAUACUGACACUGAGGUGCGAAAGCGUGGGGAGCAAACA
rnacentral:rRNA from 1 species